UACAGAGGUCUCAAGCGUUGUUCGGAUUCAUUGGGCGUAAAGGGUGUGUAGGUGGCGCGCUAAGUCGGGUGUGAAAUUUCGGAGCUUAACUCCGAAACUGCAUUCGAUACUGGCGGGCUUGAGGACUGGAGAGGAGACUGGAAUUCAUGGUGUAGCAGUGAAAUGCGUAGAGAUCAUGAGGAAGACCAGUGGCGAAGGCGGGUCUCUGGACAGUUCCUGACACUGAGGCACGAAGGCCAGGGGAGCAAACGGG
rnacentral:rRNA from 1 species